rnacentral:misc_RNA from 1 species
GUGACUUGCUAGAAAGCGACUUCCUUAAUGCUCCAAGAGAUGAGUUUGAAGAACGUGAAGCAGCAAUAGAACUUAGAGAAGAAAUAGAGGAGCAAGAGUUAUUGCUGGAAUUCCUUUUGCUAAUUCAACAACGAAAGCUGGAGGCUUUACACAACUUACGUGAGAUUGUAUCUUUUUUAUCAUCUGACAUAGAAGAGGUCUCAAAGAUGCAGAAGACCCUUAGAGUCGAAAGGGGUUCAAAUCAGGAGCCAGUAAGGG